GAUGAACGCUGACAGAAUGCUUAACACAUGCAAGUCUACUUGAAUUUGGGUUUUUAACUUAGAUUUGGGUGGCGGACGGGUGAGUAACGCGUAAAGAACUUGCCUCACAGUUAGGGACAACAUUUGGAAACGAAUGCUAAUACCUGAUAUUAUGAUUUUAAGGCAUCUUAGAAUUAUGAAAGCUAUACGCGCUGUGAGAGAGCUUUGCGUCCCAUUAGCUAGUUGGAGAGGUAACGGCUCACCAAGGCGAUGAUGGGUAGCCGGCCUGAGAGGGUGAACGGCCACAAGGGGACUGAGACACGGCCCUUACUCCUACGGGAGGCAGCAGUGGGGAAUAUUGGACAAUGGACCAAGAGUCUGAUCCAGCAAUUCUGUGUGCACGAUGACGUUUUUCGGAAUGUAAAGUGCUUUCAGUUGGGAAGAAAAAAAUGACGGUACCAACAGAAGAAGUGACGGCUAAAUACGUGCCAGCAGCCGCGGUAAUACGUAUGUCACGAGCGUUAUCCGGAUUUAUUGGGCGUAAAGCGCGUCUAGGUGGUUAUGUAAGUCUGAUGUGAAAAUGCAGGGCUCAACUCUGUAUUGCGUUGGAAACUGUGUAACUAGAGUACUGGAGAGGUAAGCGGAACUACAAGUGUAGAGGUGAAAUUCGUAGAUAUUUGUAGGAAUGCCGAUGGGGAAGCCAGCUUACUGGACAGAUACUGACGCUGAAGCUCGAAAGCGUGGGUAGCAAACUGG
rnacentral:rRNA from 1 species